rnacentral:rRNA from 1 species
UGGGGAAUAUUGGACAAUGGGGGCAACCCUGAUCCAGCAAUGCCGCGUGUGUGAAGAAGGUUUUCGGAUUGUAAAGCACUUUCGGCGGGGACGAUGAUGACGGUACCCGCAGAAGAAGCCCCGGCUAACUUCGUGCCAGCAGCCGCGGUAAUACGAAGGGGGCUAGCGUUGCUCGGAAUGACUGGGCGUAAAGGGCGUGUAGGCGGUUUGUACAGUCAGAUGUGAAAUCCCCGGGCUUAACCUGGGAGCUGCAUUUGAGGCGUGCAGACUAGAGUGUGAGAGAGGGUUGUGGAAUUCCCAGUGUAGAGGUGAAAUUCGUAGA